GAGAAGGUGACAGUAAUGACCACAGCCCCUGCUUAUGAUACUAGGUACCAGCUUGGGGCUCAGUUUUAUUUACGCCACUUACUCGUCACAAGAGCCCUAAGAGGUGAGUACUGGGCCCCACUUUUAGGACUGGGAAGCUGAGGCAAAUGGCGUGAUCUGCUAGUAAGCGGAAGAUCUGGAAUUUGAACCGCGUCUGGGUGACGCGGCAGCCCCCGGCGAAGGGAGCAUUUUCUGUCCCUCGGGGGUGGAGCCCCCAAGCCGGCCAGACUCCACUGCGUCGGUGGUCCGAUGGACAGAAGGGGCUUCUCUGCGGAGGACCGCGUGGACUCGCCGUAUCACACGACCGCAUCCGCGCUCCCCUUCUCCAGCCCCGGGCGUCAGCCCCCCGGCUGCUGAAGCCCGUCCUGGCUCCGCGCUUUAAACGCGGUGCGCCCAGCUCGAGGGCGGCAAUCCUGCGCCCGCACUUCUCUCCAGAUCUUCCAGCUGCCGUUUGGGACCUCUUCUUCUCUUCGGUGCUGUCUGGGCCAGCCGGAGGGUCACCUCUCCUAUGAUGAAGUACUUCAGGCUUUUUCACUGUGGUUGCUUACUAUUUCACCCCUGUGACAAGACCGCCACUACUCCAUGGCUGUGGGCUGAUUUCUGGCCAUCGCUUUGACAAAUCGCCAGAUUUCUCUGAAGAGUUGUCUGUCCGCAUUGCCACCAUCCCUCCACCAGCCGCACUCCUCCAUCUCCCCAUUAUGGGUUCCACUCCCGGUAUCAUAAAAAUUGUUUUUGCCAAGAUCACCAGUGACUUUCAUGUUGCUAAGUCUACUAUACACUUUUGAGCCU